GAGGGUAUAGCUCGAGUGAUAGAGCACAUGCUUAGCAUGCACAAGGUCCUGGGUUUAAUUCCCAGUACCUCCA
rfam:Camelus ferus unplaced genomic scaffold scaffold597, whole genome shotgun sequence.